rnacentral:rRNA from 1 species
CACACNGNGGUGUUGUUUACCUGAAGACGGUGCGCUAACCCGCAAGGGAGGCAGCCGGCCACGGUAGGGUCAGCGACUGGGGUG